AUUGAACGCUGGCGGCAGGCCUAACACAUGCAAGUCGAGCGAGCGGCGGACGGGUGAGUAAUGUAUGGGGACUGCCCGAUAGAGGGGGAUAACUACUGGAAACGGUGGCUAAUACCGCAUACUAUCGGAUAACCCAUAUGGGAUUAGCUAGUAGGUGGGGUAAAGGCUCACCUAGGCGACGAUCUCUAGCUGGUCUGAGAGGAUGAUCAACCGCACUGGAACUGAGACACGGCCCAGACUCCUACGGAGGCAGCAGUGAGGAAUAUUAGUCAAUGGGCGAGGGCCUGAACCAGCCAAGUCGCGUGAAGGAUGACUGUCUUUGGAAUGUAAACUUCUUUUAUACGAGAAUAGGUACCGUAUGAAUAAGCAUCGGCUAACUCCGUGCCAGCAGCCGCGGUAAUUC
rnacentral:rRNA from 1 species